GACGGAAGGUGCAAGCGUUGCUCGGAAUCACUGGGCGUAAAGGGUGCGUAGGCGGCCGCGCAAGUCUGGCGUGAAAGCCCCGGGCUCAGCCCGGGAAGGGCGCUCGAAACGGCGCGGCUCGAGUGCCGGAGGGGGGAGUGGAAUUCCUGGUGUAGCGGUGGAAAUGCGUAGAUAUCGGAAGGAACAUCAGUGGCGAAAGCGACUUCCUGGACCAGUACCGACGUCAGGCACGAAAGCGUGGGGAGCAAACAGG
rnacentral:rRNA from 1 species